AGUGAACGCUGGCGGUAGGCCUAACACAUGCAAGUCGAACGGCAGCACAGUAAGAGCUUGCUCUUACGGGUGGCGAGUGGCGGACGGGUGAGGAUUACAUCGGAAUCUACUUUUUCGUGGGGGAUAACGUAGGGAAACUUACGCUAAUACCGCAUACGUCCUACGGGUGAAAGCAGGGGAUCUUCGGACCUUGCGCGAUUGAAUGAGCCGAUGUCGGAUUAGCUAGUUGGCGGGGUAAAGGCCCACCAAGGCGACGAUCCGUAGCUGGUCUGAGAGGAUGAUCAGCCACACUGGAACUGAGACACGGUCCAGACUCCUACGGGAGGCAGCAGUGGGGAAUAUUGGACAAUGGGCGCAAGCCUGAUCCAGCCAUACCGCGUGGGUGAAGAAGGCCUUCGGGUUGUAAAGCCCUUUUGUUGGGAAAGAAAAGCAGCAGGUUAAUACCCCGCUGUUCUGACGGUACCCAAAGAAUAAGCACCGGCUAACUUCGUG
rnacentral:rRNA from 1 species